GCUGGGAUGUUGCAGGGGCAGCUGUGUGGGGAGACCCUGGUGAAGGUGGGUAUUCGGCGGCCGCCAUCUUGGUUGAGGUGUGCCGCUGGAGCAUAGCUCCGAUGUCCCUCUGUUCUGGUGCAUUACCAGGUGUGGAUUUCUGGUUUCUGCGCCCCAUAGGCGUGUUGGCAGGUGCCGUUUGUGUCGGCCACAGUUCUGCUGCGUUUCCCUCAGGGUCCCCGCCCCAGAGAUACUCGAGGUCGCGGUAUGAG